rnacentral:rRNA from 1 species
CACGUAGGGGGCAAGCGUUGUCCGGAUUUAUUGGGCGUAAAGAGCUCGUAGGCGGUUCGGUAAGUCGGGUGUGAAACCUCCAGGCUCAACCUGGAGACGCCACCCGAUACUGCUGUGACUAGAGUCCGGUAGGGGAGCGUGGAAUUCCUGGUGUAGCGGUGAAAUGCGCAGAUAUCAGGAGGAACACCGGUGGCGAAGGCGGAUCUCUGGGCCUUACCUGACGCUGAGGCGCGAAAGCUAGGGGGAGCAAACAGG